UGAUAUAAUAAUCCGGUCCAUUUCUUCAC
rnacentral:sRNA from 1 species